UACGGAGGAUCCAAGCGUUAUCCGGAUUUAUUGGGCUUAAAGGGUGCGUAGGUGGCCUGUUAAGUCAGGGGUGAAAGACGGUAGCUUAACUAUCGCAGUGCCCUUGAUACUGAUGGGCUUGAAUGAACUAGAGGUAGGCGGAAUGUGACAAGUAGCGGUGAAAUGCAUAGAUAUGUCACAGAACACCAAUUGCGAAGGCAGCUUACUAUGGUUUUAUUGACACUGAGGCACGAAAGCGUGGGGAGCAAACAGG
rnacentral:rRNA from 1 species